UCGACAAAAUGUUCUGGGCCCAAAAGGCAGAAGAGGAUGCUAACUUCUGGCCACACUGAAGGAAUGUAGACGUUACGCGGCUUUAGGGCGUCAUCACGGAAUACAUGACUCUUCGGUUGGAGGAGGAGUACUGCAGCAAUAUGUUUUAACAAGGAUACAAAACGCUACAGUAUAACGGAACGGCGCCAGGAAGAAAAGGCAGUGAAAUACGCGGAGGCUCACCUUUGAACUCUGUUGGAGGAGGUCAGUGACGGCAUGCCGCCCCCUGCUGGCGUGGAGCUCUGUGAUUGACAGCGAGGACAGAUGCUGUCGUCUAAACAGGGUCAAUCUGGAGACCUUCUGCUGUCAGCAGAUGUCCAAUUAAUAAGCACAUCAUCAGCAAUAAGAUGCACACCACGCAGGCCAUCAACUGCCUGCAUGAGUUCACGCUGGAAAACUUUGGGAGCCGGACUAAUUCCCAUCGGCAUCCUGAGCUAACUGAACCUGCAAAAUGUGGUGGCAAAUGUCGUGACGUACUGUAACUAGUCUUCUCACUCAGCUUCAUGUACCAAAAACAUGCCUGACAUCACACACCAUGAACACUCUUGCUUUAGAAAGUCUAUAUAUUUAGUCUAUAUGAUAUAUCAACGGGCAAGAGAGGAAAAUGGCUUCCUUUCAGCGCUCUGUUCAGCAGUUUUGGAUCUGUGCAAGUCCUACAUUUUCCAUUGGGUUUGGUCACUGUCAUCAUGCUGCUUAUCCAGUCAGUACUGUAUUGCACAAGUGCAAUAAUUCCAUUAUUCUGUAGUUCUCUAAGUUCAGCUUUGGGAGGUGUGAACAGAGCCAAUGGCACUCUGCAUUUAGGCACUUUUACAGGGGAUACGCUCGUGUCAAGUCUCAUGUAGUACUCCCCCUCAAGGCAUCCCACAACACGGUAGAGAUAUGUCAUGGUGCGUCUUGUUGCAUCAUCUUGCAUUUGUCGCCGACAACACAGCAUUCUUUCACAACAUUGUCCAAUUACUGAAUGAUAUCAACUAUUUUGAU